rnacentral:rRNA from 1 species
CUACCCCACGAGUCUGGAAUAACCUGCCGAAAGGCGGGCUAAUACUGGAUAGAGCGAUGGAAUCCGUAAUUGGGUUUUUCGGGAAAGGGAGGAAGCAAUUCCCUUUGCUUUGGGAUGAGCCUGCGUCUCAUUAGCUAGUUGGUGAGGUAAUAGCUCACCAAGGCUUUGAUGGGUAGCUGGUCUGAGAGGAUGAUCAGCCACACUGGAACUGAAACACGGUCCAG